CACGAUGUUUCAGGCAGUCACUAAAACGCUUUCCGUAACAUCAACCUCUCCAGUUUGUCGCGGAAUAUUGUUGGGUAUUCGACAUUAUUGUAAGAAGACACCGACGAAGCUAAGAGUAUCUGAGGCACUUUCGGGAGCAGAUUUGGGAGCAAAUGUCAAAGUACAGGGAUGGGUUCGCUCUGUCAGACCUCAGAAAGCCAACGUCUUUCUCCAUGUGAAUGAUGGAGCUCCUUGCAGCCGCUGCAAGUCAUCACUGGUGCAGAGCUGAGUGAUCCGUCGCUGACAUUUGGCAGUGCUGUUGAAGUCACAGGUAUUCUCAAGAAAAGUCCGCACAAAAA